rnacentral:rRNA from 1 species
AUGAUCCGAGCGAUUCAUGGCGGGGGAAACUCCAAGUUCUUCCACAUGUCCGCCUCACAACGGUUUAGAAAAAACAAAAUCUUCUCCCUCGCUCAGGACGGCUCGGUGUUCACUUCCCACCACCAAAAAGCAGAAAUCCUGCGGGAUUUCUUUGUCACGCUCAUCGGCUCUUCUGCUUCAACGGCAUGGCCGUUUGACCUCACGACGAUCUACCCUUCUCCCAUACCUGGUCUUCAUGCCCUCGACGCACAAUUUUCAGAAGAUGAAAUAAAAUUGGCCUUCUUUCAAAUGAACCCUCAAGCAAGCCCCGGACCUGAUGGUUUCGGCCCAUCUUUCUAUAAAUCUUUCUGGCCCUCUAUCAAACCGGUGAUUUUCUCCUUCUUCGCACAAUUCCACCAAGGUACGGCGGACACAGAGCGCCUAAACCGUGCCCAUAUAGCUCUGCUCCCGAAAUCUACCCCCUCCAUCUCACCUGACGCCUUCAGAGCAAUUCCCUUGCAAAAUUGCCCGGUCAAAGCUGUGGCGAAGGUCCUAACAUCGCGCCUCAAACCUUUCAUUCCACAUCUCGUCCAUGGUAACCAAACUGGCUUCAUCACGGGUAGGAACAUUGCAGAAAACUACGUCUUUGCAGCAGAUCUUAUCAGCUCUUGUCACUCUCGACAACGCCCAACCAUGAUCUUCAAGCUUGACUUCAGAAAGGAUUUUGAUUCGGUUGCUUGGAAUGCCCUGGACAAAAUCAUGGCGGUCCGAGGCUUCUCCCAAACCUUCCGUGGAUGGAUUCAAAACCUCCUCCAUACUGGCAAGACCGCCAUCCUCCUCAACGGCAUCCCAGGACGUUGGAUCCCAUGCAAGAACGGUCUACGUCAGGGAGACCCGGCCUCCCCCUACCUCUUCCUAAUUGUAGUCGAUCUGCUACAACAACUUGUCCUUCAGAGUACCGAUCCCGACCUACAUCACCCCAUCUUUACCCACUUGCCCCCUACUAUCACUACUGGAAUCAGCUACUUUGCCAUCUGCCAGCUCUUUGCCGUCAGCUAG